rnacentral:rRNA from 1 species
UACAGAGGGGGCAAGCGUUGUUCGGAAUUACUGGGCGUAAAGGGCGCGUAGGCGGCCUUCUAAGUCGAACGUGAAAUCCCCGGGCUCAACCCGGGAACUGCGUCCGAGACUGAAAGGCUCGAAUCCGGGAGAGGGAUGUGGAAUUCCAGGUGUAGCGGUGAAAUGCGUAGAUAUCUGGAAGGAACAUCGGUGGCGAAGGCGGCAUCCUGGACCGGUAUUGGACGCUGAGGCGCGAAAGCCAGGGGAGCAAAGCGGG